rnacentral:rRNA from 1 species
CCUACGGGAGGCUGCAGUGGGGAAUAUUGGACAAUGGGGGGAACCCUGAUCCAGCCAUGCCGCGUGUGUGAAGAAGGCCCUCGGGUUGUAAAGCACUUUCAGUGAGGAAGAACGCCUGGUGGUUAAUACCCAUCAGGAAAGACAUCACUCACAGAAGAAGCACCGGCUAACUCCGUGCCAGCAGCCGCGGUAAUACGGAGGGUGCGAGCGUUAAUCGGAAUUACUGGGCGUAAAGCGCGCGUAGGUGGCUUGAUAAGCCGGUUGUGAAAGCCCCGGGCUCAACCUGGGAACGGCAUCCGGAACUGUCAAGCUAGAGUGCAGGAGAGGAAGGUAGAAUUCCCGGUGUAGCGGUGAAAUGCGUAGAGAUCGGGAGGAAUCCCAGUGGCGAAGGCGGCCUUCUGGACUGACACUGACACUGAGGUGCGAAAGCGUGGGUAGCAAACAGGAUUAGAUACCCGUGUAGUC